rnacentral:lncRNA from 1 species
GAGGACAGAACGAUAGAGUUAGGAGUGCAGAAACGGUGGGGCUGACUCUGUUCGGUCUUGCGCGGCGCGCAUUAGUCAACCCGGAGCCACGGUCCUCGUAGGAACCGUUCUCGUCGUCGUUCUGUUUUAUGAACAUAAUCUCUCGUUGGUGUGUUGUUUUGUGUAUGAUAUAUUAUUAUGUGUGAAACAUACAUACCCAUAUUUUAUUUGUCAACGUAAAUAAUACCCCCUCCCUUCACGACCCACCCCCUUAUUCUCGUUACACGAACGGAAUAUAUUAUUCGGGGGUGUCUACUAUGAAAUUCUAAGUAAUUCGUCUUUUUUGAUUGGAAGAUUAAUUAAAGUGCGCGAGUGUGCGAAUUGUAAUAAACAUCUUCGACCUAAAGAGAGAGAGAGAGAGAGAUAGAAAGAAAUAGAGUUAACUAUACCAACAAUAAUAGAAUAAUAAUAAUAAGAAGAAGAAGAAGAAGAAUAAGAAGAAGAAAAGAGGAAAACAGAAGAUAAAAACAAGAAUCGUGUUGUAGCAGUGCGUGGAAGAAACCUAUGUGGAAAAAAUUGCGGUACGGGAGGAUUCGUGGCGCGAACGAUUCGACGAAUAGAAAAGUUUUCUUAUUCGGUGCCGCCUCGUGUUCGAAGAGUCGCGGAAGAGGAGAACACGGGGUCGUGGGGACCGUGUUCUCGUCGUUGUCGUUGUCAUCGUUGCUCGUGGUCCCCGUUUCCUUUUCGGUUCGCGUAUUAUAAUAAGUGCGUGCGUGCAUUAAAAUAAGAAGAAGAAGAAGAAGAAGAAGAAGAAAGAGGAAAAAACAAUUUUUAAUACGGAUCAUCUGGUGAUAUCCUAAAAGAUUCUAUUCGUUUUAUUCGCGUAUACGAUAUAAUAUUAAAAUAACAAUAAUAAUAAUAAUAAUAACGAAAACAGGGUGUGCAACAACGACCAGUGCAUUCGACGAUAAGAAAAGCCUUUAUUAUUCUAACUACUGUUACAACUAUACGAUUCAACUACUGUGAUAUAAAUAUAUAUAUAAAUAGGUGUAUAUAUAUAUAUAUCUACAUAUACACGCAAGACACUCUCCAAUGAAAACGAGAGAAAGAGAAAGAGAGAGAGAGAGAGAGAGACGAGAAAUCGAUCCUCCAAACUCGUCCCGUUUCAAUUUCUCUUCUUCUCUUGGCACUUCGCGGUGACUCAUUUCGGGGAAAGUAAGACGAAGCACGCCUCGGAAAGGAGAGUUUCUGGUAGGUUUCUUAAAAA